GAGUUUGAUCGUGGCUCAGAUUGAACGCUGGCGGCAUGCCUUACACAUGCAAGUCGAACGGCAGCACGGGCUUCGGCCUGGUGGCGAGUGGCGAACGGGUGAGUAAUACAUCGGAACGUGCCCUGUUGUGGGGGAUAACCAGUCGAAAGAUUGGCUAAUACCGCAUACGACCUGAGGGUGAAAGCCGGGGACCGCAAGGCCUGGCGCUAAUAGAUGAGCCCAAAUCGGAUUAGCUAGUUGGUGAGGUAAUGGCUCACCAAGGCUACGAUCCGUAGCUGGUCUGAGAGGACGACCAGCCACACCGGAACUGAGACACGGUCCGGACUCCUACGGGAGGCAGCAGUGGGGAAUAUUGGACAAUGGGCGAAAGCCUGAUCCAGCGACGCCGCGUGGGUGAGGAAGGCCUGCGGGUUGU
rnacentral:rRNA from 1 species